UUGGCCAAAGUCCACCAUAAUGCACUGCCGUCGGAAAGCCGGAGAGGAGACCCCUAGAAAGAAGACCAGCAAGCAGGUCGCGCGAGCCCAAUAAACCAAGAUAGUGAGAUGUGCCUCCAUCAUACCACACCAUGUGAUGCGAGGAGCCUCUUCUGCCUCUCAUCCCCCUACUUCCAAGAUGCAAUCAUGCUGCCCCAGACUCCUCGGGCCCCUCGGUCACCAUGAUUGCCUCACCGCCUCUCAGGAGUCUCCUCCACCUACUUCCAAGAGGAAGAGGCCGGAGAAGCUAUAGUCCAUGAGGAAAUUAAGCGGAGGGGCGGCGGCCGGUGUACGAGGGGCCGGAGGAGGAGGAGAGAGAAGGGGAGGUGGCAGAAAAAGCUAGAGAGAGAGAGAGAGAGAGAGAGAGAGACAGAGAUGCAUGGUGCAUGGCAUGAUGAUGGCGUGGUUGAUCUAUUCGAUCCAGUACUACUUCUGUCAUUCGAGUCAAGAAGCCAUCAUCAGAUCGGUGCAGUUCUCCCUCCUCCUUCCAGCUCCUCUUCAGCUUCUUUGUAACACUGCGCCCGCCAUGGCUUUGGGGAAUCAAGCGUCUUGGUCCGAAAUCCUUCUUUCCUAGCUAGGAUCUACGUACUUGUGCAAGAGUCAAAAAUGAACAACUAUGACAACUAUCGUUUGGGCAUUGUACAAUAGCUACGGCGGAUCUGGAGGAGCCAGAGGCCAAGGAGUCUUUGAGGGAUCUUCUCUUUCCGCAAACACCAGCACACCAAGUUGGAGCUCGUGGUCGCUACGCCACAGGACUGCACAGUUUCUAACAGAGAUCGAAGAGGAGCCGAAGCAGCCGCAAGUUUUCAACAUCUUUGUGUUUUAGUUUUUGGUCAAAACUAACGAUGAUGUUGUGUGCUUGUAUUGUUUGUUGCCCAAGUUAUCGUCUCGUCCUAAAAAAAAUUAAGAGAUCCUAAUUAGUCCUACGUUAAAUUA